rnacentral:rRNA from 1 species
CCUACGGGCGACUGCAGUGGGGAAUCUUCCGCAAUGGGCGAAAGCCUGACGGAGCAACGCCGCGUGAUCGAAUGAAGGCCUUCGGGUUGUAAAGAUCUGUUGACAGGGACGAAUAAGCAAUGCGAAUAGUUUUUUGUAUGACGGUACCUGUUUAGAACGCUCCGGCUAACUACGUGCAAGCAGCCGCGGUAAUACGUAGGGAGCAAGCGUUGUCCGGAUUUAUUGGGUUUAAAGGGUGCGUAGGUUGUUUUUUAAGUCAGCGGUGAAAGUUUGUGGCUCAACCAUAAAAUUGCCGUUGAAACUGGAAGACUAGAGUGUGCGAGAGGUAUGCGGAAUGCGUGGUGUAGCGGUGAAAUGCAUAGAUAUCACGCAGAACCCCGAUUGCGAAGGCAGCAUACCGGUGCACAACUGACGCUCAGGCACGAAAGCGUGGGUAUCGAACAGGAUUAGAUACCCCAGUAGUC